GCAGUGGUAGUUCAGUGGUAGAAUUCUUGCCUUCCACGGAGGAGAGCUGGGUUCAAUUCCCACCAGUGCA
rnacentral:tRNA from 1 species